rnacentral:rRNA from 1 species
CGCUGGCGGCGUGCCUAAUACAUGCAAGUCGAGCGGACUUGCUGGAGCUUGCUCCAGCAGGUUAGCGGCGGACGGGUGAGUAACACGUGGGCAACCUGCCUGUAAGACUGGGAUAACUCCGGGAAACCGGAGCUAAUACCGGAUAGUAUCUUGAACCGCAUGGUUCAAGUUGGAAAGACGGUUUCGGCUGUCACUUACAGAUGGGCCCGCGGCGCAUUAGCUAGUUGGUGAGGUAAUGGCUCACCAAGGCAACGAUGCGUAGCCGACCUGAGAGGGUGAUCGGCCACACUGGGACUGAGACACGGCCCAGACUCCUACGGGAGGCAGCAGUAGGGAAUCUUCCGCAAUGGACGAAAGUCUGACGGAGCAACGCCGCGUGAGUGAUGAAGGUUUUCGGAUCGUAAAACUCUGUUGUUAGGGAAGAACAAGUGCGAGAGUAACUGCUCGCACCUUGACGGUACCUAACCAGAAAGCCACGGCUAACUACGUGCCAGCAGCCGCGGUAAUACGUAGGUGGCAAGCGUUGUCCGGAAUUAUUGGGCGUAAAGCGCGCGCAGGCGGUUUCUUAAGUCUGAUGUGAAAGCCCCCGGCUCAACCGGGGAGGGUCAUUGGAAACUGGGAAACUUGAGUGCAGAAGAGGAGAGUGGAAUUCCACGUGUAGCGGUGAAAUGCGUAGAGAUGUGGAGGAACACCAGUGGCGAAGGCGACUCUCUGGUCUGUAACUGACGCUGAGGCGCGAAAGCGUGGGGAGCGAACAGGAUUAGAUACCCUGGUAGUCCACGCCGUAAACGAUGAGUGCUAAGUGUUAGAGGGUUUCCGCCCUUUAGUGCUGCAGCUAACGCAUUAAGCACUCCGCCUGGGGAGUAC